CCAUCUGGCAAAAAAAACUGAACCACUCAUCUUCAGAUAAGAGGAGGAAUCCUGCUGAAGUCCAUAGUGCCACACAGGACAGAACUGACGCCAAGCUGCUGCUCAGGGUGGGGCUUUAAGGCACAUUCAUCCCCAGCAGCCGGCAGGUAGGGUCAGGUGUUAGUCCUGCAGCUCACCACCUGCUCUGUGGCUGUGCUCCCGCAGCUCCAAGGAGGAAUGGAUGUGAAAUUUGUCACUGUUUUGGUUGUUCUAGCAGUCACGGUUAGUCAGACGUCUGAGACUUUGUUUCCUGGGGCCUUUAACUGUUGCAUGAAAAUUUCAGAUGAAAUUUCCAAGGGAAUUCUCAGAAGAGUGGAGAGAUUUGAAAUCCAGAAAGCUGGUGUCCUGUGUCACCUAGAGGCUGUUAUUCUCCACAUGAAAGGCAGAAAGUUCUGUGUGAAUCCAUGGAAUAAAAAAGUCAAAAAAAUGAUGAAGAAGAUGAAGCACAAGAUUCACAGGAGCAAAUUUCACAUUACAAAGCAGAGAAGAACCAGAAUUACCAAACAGAAAGAACAGAAGCAGAAUCAAAAUUAAGCAAGAUGAAGCAAAAUGACCCAUGAUGAAGAUUCUGUGGCAUAUGGCACUGUGGGCAAGGAUACCAGAUUUCACUAGUGAUGGAUGAUUGUAGCAUUAAAAUGGCUUUUCAAAUCUCUAUGUUCUAGAAAAAGCAGAGGCAGAAAACAUCACCUGUACUCAGAACAAUGCUGGUCAGAUUAUCAGACAAAUGACAAAGUGUUCCUUGUAAUGUCUUGCAGCAAGUGUUCAUGGUACCUCCUGGAUCUUUUGGCAGACUUAAAUCUUUCUCUCUCUCACUCUGCUUUUAUGGCAACCUCCCGUGUGACUUCUGUUUUAACAUGCUGUUCCUUCCCAUUCCUCCAUUUUUUCCUAGUCCUAUACUUGGUCCCUAUUCUUCCCUGUCUGCAAUCAUCUUUCUGCUGUUGUCUGUUUUGUUUAUAUUCUUCCAAUCAUUAAUCUUUAUUUUUUUCUUAAUUUUGCAUAGUUUUAAAAAUACUUUUUCAGAUACUUCCAGCAUGUUUGCCAAAACCAUAUCUUUUACCUGUUUUAAAUAAUCUCUGCUCCCAGCUGUUACUAUCAUGAAAUAUUAUUUUAGUGAUAAUAUCUGAUCCUUUUCACAGGACUCAAAGUGUGGCACGUAAAGCUAUGCAAUAAACAUCAUCUCUACUGCUUUUGUUCA
rnacentral:lncRNA from 1 species